AUGUUAAUUGGGGGAGGGGAUUUUAAUAUCCUUCGAUAUCAGCAGGAAAAAAACAAUGACCGGUUAGAUACUAGGUGGCCUUUCUUCUUUAAUGUUGUUAUUGACAGCCUAGAUCUGAGGGAGAUCCCGAUGUCUGGUCGUCGGUAUACCUGGGCCAAUAACCGAUCAGUGCCAACAUUUGAAAAACUUGACCGAGUGCUAGUUACCACUGACUAG
rnacentral:rRNA from 1 species